rnacentral:tRNA from 1 species
UUGCGCCUGGGCGUGCGCACGACGGGCUGUUCGGGUCUCGCGUACAAGCUCGAAUAUGUCGAUGAACUCGCACCGGAAGACACGGUGUUCGAAACGUCGGGCGUGAA